CCCCUCCCGCCCCCUCCUACUACCCACACCUGUAGCCCUUGUCCAGACUGCAAACUGGGAAAACACAGGCCUAACCCCCUCCCCUAGGGAAUCCUUGUACUCGGUUGCUUGGUGCCUGGUGAUGCGCAGUCAUUUUAUAUACCCUGUCCGUUUCCUCCGUUGCUUUAGGCAGGCAGUUACGUGUGCGGCCCUGCUGUCCCACCUUAACUGGAAGCAGAGCUCCUGACAGCACACAGGGAUGGCUACUCGUCGCAGGCCCUGCCGAAGUCUUUCCUUGUGUUAUUAUUGUAUCCUCGCAGCAGCCUGUGAUGUAGGGACAAUUAUUGUCUUCCAGUUUACAGGGGAAGAAACUGAGGGGCCUGAAGGGGACUGUUUCUCCAUUUCACUGGCAGAAUGGCUGCCUGGCCAGACCCUUCUGUGGCCUGCCCUCUCCCUCUUGACCCUGGUGCCCCAAAUGUUUCAUGCAUAGGCCCCACUUACAUGGUUGGUUAUUCUUUCCAGUAAUAAGUAGGCUUCCCCCAGAGCAUGACCAAAUAUUUUCCUCUCUGUCAUGACUAAAUGGGAACCAGGAGCUGUGUCUGGAACACGGUGGGUGCUCAGGAAACGCUGGCCUCUGGUCAUCUGUGUCACAUUGUGCGGCUGAUGGUGACAUAUGAAGACUUUGGAGUUCUGAUGCAUCUUGGCUAAGCCGGAUCCCAGGAAUAUACGGGUACAGAACAUGGGGUCCACAGACGAGGCCCUUAGAAAAGGGGUUGGCAGCUGUCAGCGGUCCAACCGGGGAGGAGGUGGAGAAAGGAAGGCUGAGUGAGAGAAACAAUCCAGCGAAGACAACAGGCUAGCCAGUGAGGACCGACAACAGGUUUCACUACGGCAACCUACUGGGGCCACGGUGCCUGGCUCUUCUCAUCCCUGAUCUGAUAUGGGAUGGUCGACACUCAUGUCAACUCGAUGGGAUUUGGAGUCACCUAGGAGACAACCCCCUGGGCAUGUCUAUGAGGGAAUUGAGGUGGGAAGAUUCAUCCUUACUGUGGGCCACACUGUUUCAUGGGCUGGAGUCCUGGAGAAGGGUAAAACCGGAGAAAACGAGCUGAGCGCUAGUGAUGAUCUCUCUGGGCUUCCUGACUGUGGAUGUCAUGUGAUCAGCCGCUUCACAGUCCUGUCACCAUGAUGACAACGGUCACUUCCCUGCCGUGGUGGGCUUGUGUCCUUGAAUUAUGGGCCAAAACAAACCCUUCCUUCCUUCAUAUAUGGGCAGGAGGGAUGUAAGAACCACAAGGACACACUAGGGCACCCCUGGAAGAAGGAUGCUGACCUUGAGCCAAGAACAGACUUACAGGGUGCAAAUAAGCACCCCCAGAACGUGGUUCUUGCUCUCCAACCCAUCAGUACCAGGGAAGACCAGAAUCCUAAAGUAGCUUCAUCGUUUCUACCCUUUGGAAAAAUGGAUGUUUGCUACUGCCUUACCCCCGAAGCUGUGGUCCUCAUCUAUUGUGCAAGUCCAUGUUUGGUCCACCCAGCCUCCUCACCCCUACCUCCCUUCCCCCACACAAAAUGUCUGGUCUUAACACUCUCCUCCAAACCCUAAAAUGUGGCUGUUAUCAGGAGCUCAUGGAGGAGUUAGAGAAUGUCACAGGGAACGGCCUGCAGGAUGGUGAUUGUCCCUUGGGUUCCUGCGCAUUGCAGAAGGAGAGGCUGCGAUUCUGGAAACACCUCCCUCAUGCUCAUUCGCUCUGGUAAGGCUCACCAAGCCCUACUGUGUGCUAUGUGCAGGGCCUGGCAGCAUGCCCGAGUCAGGCAUGUCUCAGCCUCCAGGAGACAGUGUGUUCUGGUGACUGAACUCAGGUCCUCAUGCUUACAAGCAGGCUCCUUAGCAACUGAGCCAUCUCCUGAGUUCUCAAGAUCAAACAAUGACAUUAGAUGUCCAUGAGCCAGGUAACAGAGAUCUAAAACUGAUAGGACAUCAAAUAAAUAAAUCACAAUUGGAUGGAGAUAGCAGCACUGUUCUUCUGGUAGCCAAGGGAACAGGGAGAAAGUGGGUGAGGGUAUAGAUAAUUAAGAACAUCUUCAACACACAACCCAACUCACACUUGUAGCAAUGGCAGAAGAUGCGUUCCUUCCUGAGAACACUGGCUGUGAAGAGAGACAGGUGAUGCUGGAGGGGAGGGAAUAAAAAAAAAAACCUCAAAAUGUAUUCUCUAACAAGGUAUAUUCUCUAAGUACAACAUUGAGUUAGUGAUCCAUAACUUGAAAGUAUCUAGAAAACAGUGAUUUAGAAAAACCAGUAACUGAUUUUUAAGACCAUCCAUGGUAUGGAAGAAAGUCAGAGAAAUGACAGAAUUUCUUGAGCCAAAUAAAAACUGAAAUAUGACAGAAACAGUUGCCAGCUGUGAGUGGGAGGUGAGGAGGAGCCCUUCACUGGGUACAGGGUGAUUUGGCUGCUGAGAGUUCAAGGCUGGAGUCAACCCAGGUGUUGAUGCAGACAGACUGUGGUGUAUCCAUGGAGGGACUAAGACCCAUGAAGAAGAAAGAACAAACCACUAGUAUUUGCCACAAUUCAGAGAAAUCUCAAAAUAAUUCUGCUGGGUGAACCAAGCCAAACAAAAAGAUUACAUGUGUUACAGUUCCAUUUAUACACAAUUUGAGAAAAUGCCACCCAUCUGUAGUGAUAAAGAGCAGAUUGUGGGCUGGGAGAUAGCUUGAUUGGUAAAAGGCUUUGUCACAUAAACAUGAUGACCUGAGCUCACAUCCUCAAUACCCACUUAGAAGCCAGGUGUGGUGGCACACACACACCUGUAAUCCCAGCUCUGGGGAGGGGAGAUGGCCAGGUCCCUGGAGUGCACUGAUUGGCCAGGCCCACUGAGAAACCCUGCUGCAAAAAGAGUGGAGAGCAACUGAGAAAACACCCUACACUGACACCACACAGGCACACAUACGUAUACACCUUUCCAAACACACACACACACACACACACACACACACGCACGCACGCACGCACGCACGCACGCACGCACGCACACACACACACCUGGGGAUGGAGUAGGCAAGCAUCAUCCAUUGGAGGUCAGGAUCAUUAAAGGGUACAAGAAAAACUUGGGGUGCUGAAUAUUCAUCUUGAUUUUAGUGAGGGCUUUGUACAUGCAUCCAUAUGUCAUUUUAUCGGGCUUUACCUUUAAAUACGCUUGGUUCAUUGGAU